GUGCUCACCUCAGCAGCACAUACAGUAAAAAUUGGAAUGAUAUAGAGAAGAUUAGCAUGGCCCCUGUGCAAGGAUGACAUGCAAAUUCAUGAAGCCUUCCAUACUUUU
ensembl:snRNA U6 U6 spliceosomal RNA